CGCCUUGCCAGCCCGCUCAGAACUCAAAGGAAUUGACGGGGGCCCGCACAAGCGGUGGAGUAUGUGGUUUAAUUCGAUGCAACGCGAAGAACCUUACCUGGGUUUGACAUAUACCGGAAAGCUGCAGAGAUGUGGCCCCCCUUGUGGUCGGUAUACAGGUGGUGCAUGGCUGUCGUCAGCUCGUGUCGUGAGAUGUUGGGUUAAGUCCCGCAACGAGCGCAACCCUUGCCUUUAGUUGCCAGCAGUUCGGCUGGGCACUCUAAAGGGACUGCCGGUGUUAAACCGGAGGAAGGUGGGGAUGACGUCAAGUCCUCAUGGCCUUUAUGUCCAGGGCGACACACGUGCUACAAUGGCCGGCACAGCGGGAAGCGAAUGGGCGACCAUGAGCGGAUCCCCAUAAAAGCCGGUCCCAGUUCGGAUUGCAGUCUGCAACUCGACUGCAUGAAGUUGGAAUCGCUAGUAAUCGCGGAUCAGCCAAGCCGCGGUGAAUACGUUCCCGGGCCUU
rnacentral:rRNA from 1 species